GACGAACGCUGGCGGCGUGCUUAACACAUGCAAGUCGAACGAGAAGAGAUGAGAAGCUUGCUUCUUAUCAAUUCGAGUGGCAAACGGGGUGAGUAACGCGUAAGCAACCUGCCCUUCAGAUGGGGACAACAGCUGGAAACGGCUGCUAAUACCGAAUACGUCUUUUUGUCGCAUGGCAGAGAGAAGAAAGGGAGGCUCUUCGGAGCUUUCACUGAAGGAGGGGCUUGCGUCUGAUUAGCUAGUUGGAGGGGUAACGGCCCACCAAGGCGACGAUCAGUAGCCGGUCUGAGAGGAUGAACGGCCACAUUGGGACUGAGACACGGCCCAGACUCCUACGGGAGGCAGCA
rnacentral:rRNA from 1 species